GACGAACGCUGGCGGCGUGCUUAACACAUGCAAGUCGAACGAUGAAGCCUUUCGGGGUGGAUUAGUGGCGAACGGGUGAGUAACACGUGGGUAAUCUGCCCUGCACUCUGGGAUAAGCCCGGGAAACUGGGUCUAAUACCGGAUAUGACUUUCUUACGCAUGUAGGAAGGUGGAAAGUUCCGGCGGUGCAGGAUGAACCCGCGGCCUAUCAGCUUGUUGGUGGGGUAAUGGCCUACCAAGGCGACGACGGGUAGCCGGCCUGAGAGGGCGACCGGUCACACUGGGACUGAGACACGGCCCAGACUCCUACGGGAGGCAGCAGUGGGGAAUAUUGCACAAUGGGCGAAAGCCUGAUGCAGCGACGCCGCGUGAGGAUGACGGCCUUCGGUGUAACUCUUCGCACGGACGAAGCGAGAGUGACGGUACCGUGA
rnacentral:rRNA from 1 species